GUGCCAGCCGCCGCGGUAAUACGUAGGGGGCGAGCGUUGUCCGGAAUCACUGGGCGUAAAGGGCGCGUAGGCGGUCAGGUAAGUCAGAUGUGAAAGACCGAGGCUCAACCUUGGGGUUGCAUUUGAAACUGCUUGACUUGAGUGCAGGAGAGGGAAGUGGAAUUCCUAGUGUAGCGGUGAAAUGCGUAGAUAUUAGGAGGAACACCAGUGGCGAAGGCGGCUUCCUGGACUGUAACUGACGCUGAGGCACGAAAGCGUGGGGAGCAAACAGGAUUAGAUACCCUGGCAGUCCACGCCGUAAACGAUGGAUACUAGGUGUAGGGGGUAUCGACCCCUUCUGUGCCGUAGUUAACGCAAUAAGUAUCCCGCCUGGGGAGUACGGCCGCAAGGUUGAAACUCAAAGAAAUUGACGG
rnacentral:rRNA from 1 species